GACGAACGCUGGCGGCGUGCUUAGCACAUGCAAGUCGAACGGAAAGGCCCUGCUUUUGUGGGGUGCUCGAGUGGCGAACGGGUGAGUAACACGUGAGUAACCUGCCCUUGACUUUGGGAUAACUUCAGGAAACUGGGGCUAAUACCGGAUAGGAGCUCCUGCUGCAUGGUGGGGGUUGGAAAGUUUCGGCGGUUGGGGAUGGACUCGCGGCUUAUCAGCUUGUUGGUGGGGUAGUGGCUUACCAAGGCUUUGACGGGUAGCCGGCCUGAGAGGGUGACCGGCCACAUUGGGACUGAGAUACGGCCCAGACUCCUACGGGAGGCAGCAGUGGGGAAUAUUGCACAAUGGGCGGAAGCCUGAUGCAGCAACGCCGCGUGCGGGAUGACGGCCUUCGGGUUGUAAACCGCUUUCGCCUGUGACGAAGCGUGAGAGACGGUAAUGGGUAAAGAAGCACCGGCUAACUACGUG
rnacentral:rRNA from 1 species